rnacentral:rRNA from 1 species
CCUGAUCGUAAGCCUAUUGGAGCCAUGCCGCGUGUGUUAAGAAGGCCUUCGGGUUGUAAAGCACUUUCAGCGGGGAGGAAGGGGCAGGCUUAAUACGUCUGUUCAUUGACGUUACCCGCAGAAGAAGCACCGGCUAACUCCGUGCCAGCAGCCGCGGUAAUAAACGGAAGGGUGCAAGCGUUAAUCGGAAUGACUGGGCGUAAAGCGCACGCAGGCGGUCUUUUAAGUUGGAUGUGAAAUCCCCGGGCUUAACCUGGGAACUGCAUUCAAAACUGACAGGCUAGAGUCUCGUUGAAGGGGGUAGAAUUCCAGGUGUAGCGGUGAAAUGCGUAGAGAUCUGGAGGAAUACCGGUGGCGAAGGCGGCCCCUGGACGAAGACUGACGCUCAGGGUGCGAAAGCGUGGGGAGCAAACAGGAUUAGAUACCCUGGUAGUCCACGCUGUAAACGAUGUCGAUUUGGAGGUUGUGCCCUUGAGGCGUGGCUUCCGGAGCAACGCGUUAAAUCGACCGCCUGGGGAGUACGGCCGCAAGGUUAAAACUCAAAUGAAUUGACGGGGGCCCGCACAAGCGGUGGAGCAUGUGGUUUAAUUCGAUGCAACGCGAAGAACCUUACCUUCUCUUGACAUCCAGAGAAGCCUGCAGAGAUGCGGGCGGCCUUUGGGAGCUCUGAGACAGGUGCUGCAUGGCUGUCGUCAGCUCGUGUUGUGAAAUUUU